ensembl:lncRNA
AGUGAAAAGUAGCUUGCAAGCCGAAAAAGUGUGGGGACCCCUGCGUUUCGACCACGGCGUUACACACAUGCCAACGUGAGGUCCAACGUAACCUUAGUGGACCGACCAGUAGAGAACACACGGUACUCCAGAGCCUUGGUGUUGAGAGGUACAGCUCGGUUGGGGACAGAACCCUCCACAAACAGCAGUUUGGUGAGUUGUGAAGACACAAAGAGUUCAUGUUUCUAUCUGGGUUUUCCUCUCUGUGUACAAAGUGACGUAGUUCUCAUGAGAGACUCGUCGGAUUGUGGACGUUUUGUAGCCUCUGGUAGAGACCUCUCAAUCAGCGUGUAGCUCCGCCCUAAAGCAUCCCCUGCUUUAUGUUCUGUUUGACUCUAAAUGGACCAUAAUUUACUAAAUAAACAUCCUGCUGUGUUGAAGAAGACCUAAAAGCAGAAAGAAGCCAUAUAAAUGCGGGAUUCUCUUCCAAUGCCAAUUCCAAUUCCAAAGCCUCCCACAAGCUGUUUUUUGCUGUGCAACAACUACUACUCCUCCUCCCCCACCUGAUCCUCGUAGGCCGCAACAACUACCCCCCCUCCUCCCCCCGUCGACCUGUUAUUUAGUUGUGUUUAUCAGCCACACCUUCAAGACCUUCCGCAAAAUAUUGUCUAACAUGAAACCGGUCCGUAAGGCCAAAAAGGUUGAGGACCGCUGCUCUAGAGGAAGUCUUCGUAGUGACGUAGUUCACGCAAUAAAAGAUAAAAGACCACCAGGUGGUUGUGGACUCGUCUUCACAGCCGUCCACUUGUUAUCCUGGGGGAUGUCCAGAUGUUCCAGAGCAACAGCUGGGAACAAGCAGUCCUUUAAGACAAAAUAAUCCCUGUUAUUUUUAACCUUGAAUUAACCUCUACCAUUAGAAUGAUCAACUUACAUAAACACAACUGAGCCUGGGUCAGCUGAGGUCAGGACUCGGGACUCGUGUGAUGUCCAUCAGUAGCAGACAGCUGACUGGGGAUCAGGAUCUGCCAUACGCUCCCACGCUUCCCUCCGUCUGUCCCUCCGUCUCUAAUCACGAUGACCUCUAUCAUGACCUGCAAUCAGCUCAGAGUUCACUAGUGGAAACACUAUGAGGAGUUUUGGACCGUCUCCACAGACCCAAGGACAGAUAAACUGAACGGGAUCAAACAUGUGCACCACGAUCUGAGACAUAGACAGUACAUAGCUGAAUGUGUGUGUAUAUAUGGACAGUAUAUAGCUAAAUGUGGGUCUCCUUUUGUCUCUUAUCGGCUCCUGUUAUCUCUCAUUGUCUCCUAUUGUGCUCUUCUUGUCUCAUUUUUACUCAGAUGUUCCCCUAUUGUCUCCAAAUGUCUUCAUAGGGUGUAGAAGUAACCACCCGUCCUCGGGAAGUUAAGUGAGACAUUCUAAAUGUUUCUCAGAGAUGGAUCCUUGGCUCAUGUGAGAUGAAUCUCUGAGAUCACGAGAGAGAUCAGAUCUCAACUCACUUCUUCGUCGCCGCAAAACUAUUCGUCCUUUCAAGUUUUGAGAUGAAGUUGGCGGGUUAUUUCUCUUAAACUAGCGUUUUAUUUAAAGCUGAGUCUGUCAAAUGGAUGUUUGAUGCGGGUCUCUGGGGGACCAGCGAGAAGCGAGUGAAGGGAGACACGGGCGUCAAUUAAGAGACAGACACUUCAAAAUGGAGGCGAUUAAACUUGGAAAUCUUUAAAAUGCUCCCCAAUGAAUUGUCUUCUCUGAGGAAAAAAGUCCCCAAAGUUCACAGUUUGAUUCCACAGCAAGAAAAGAGGACAGACAAGUGCUAUUUAUUUUCGUGCCAACAUGUCUCCUCCUCAAUGUCCCUGUCUCUGUGCACUUUCAACCUGUCAUAGAUUCUAAAGAGGGACGUCAGGAAAAAAUGAGGCCACCUCGUAUGACACUUUGAAAGACAUGUCCCCUCCUAUGAGACGCUUUAUAAGACAGGACACCUCGUAUGACAUGCUUUAAGAGACAGAAAACCUUGUAUGAGACGUUUAUAAAACAGGACACCUCGUAUGAGACGUUUAUAAGAUAGGAAACUUCUUAUGAGACGUUUAUAAGACAUGACACCUCGUAUGAGACACUUUGAAAGACAGCACACCUCUUAAGAGAGACGUUUAUGAAACAGGACACCUUGUAUGAGACACUUUGAAAGAUAAGACCCUCUUCUAUGUAAUGUAAUGUAAAGUGAAGAAAGAAACUGAGUCUGAAGGUUUCCAACAGAACACUGUGAAGGCUGGAAGAAUCUGAAGGUUCUCAUCAGAACCCCUUGAUGAGAGGAACUGAGUCUGAGGAACUAAGGCUCUCCAGUAGAACCACCACACACCCUGUUUAUUUCCCCAUAUAUUACACGUUUCGUAAAGCUCUUAAACCCUUAAAGAGAUACACACCCUGUUUACUGCGUCUCUUAUCGUCUUUCCCCUCCUGAUUAAAGGGGAGGACAUCUCUGAUUACAGCGAUCACGUUGACUCACUCUUCCAAUAGAUUUGAUUAUAUGGCCUUUAACAUUGUCAAUUGUAUAUUGUAUAUAAUAUACUAAUAAUGAUAUAUUAAUCAUUGAUUAAGAAUGAUAAUAAAUUAUGAUGCAGUAUGAACACAAUCAGAAGAAAAAUAAUAAUUUGCAUACAAGUUAACGAAUGUGUUUGCUGCUGUGGUUUUUAUAGACUGUAUUGAUUGAUUUUUCUUUUAACUCAAAGUUCAUGGCUUCACUGAUUUAAUUUGAAUUUAAAAUAAAAAAAAUGUUCUUCUCUCAGUCUGAAAUAUGUCAUGCUCCGGAGGUGAAGUAUAUCUUAAAUUAAAUGAAAUAGAUAGAAGAUAACUUUCUCUGUCUGCAUUUUAUACAUUUUUCAGGUUUUAAGGUUUUUACGGUCAGGCGCAGGUUGCUAGGCAGCGGGAGCGGCAGAAAAGCUGGACCGUAGGACAGGCCGCCAUUUCAGGGACCGCUUCGUUCACCCUAUGUGGUCCUUGAAGGACCCGGCCAGACCAGAGGGGUCCUUCAAGGAUGCACCCGACUAGAUACAGCUACUGUUUUGACCCUAUAGUAAAGAUGACCUGGACUACAUUACCCAUAAUCCUCUGUUGAUGCAAUUUAAUGAAAUAUAAGUUUAUGAACUAUACAUGUAAAGACAAAACAAAAUAUUUUCUGAAAUCAAUCAUUGUUUUAUAUGGACUGAAAUAUGAGCACUAAUCUAAAUAUAUUGUGAAAAAGUGUCACCUCAAAGGCAUGGAUCCAUCCAUCCAUCCAUCCAUCCAUCGUCAAACCGCUUAUCCUGCACACAGGGUCACGGGGCGGCUGGAGUCCAUCCCAGCCAACUUCGGGCGAGAGACGGGGUACACCCUGGAUUGGUCACCAGCCAAUCGCAGGGCUAUACAGAGACACACAACCAUUCACACUCACAUUCAUACACAAUUUAGAGUCCCCAAUUGACCUGAUCCCCAGAGCAUGUCUUUGGACUGUGGGAGGAACCCGGAGAACCCGGAGAGAACCCACGCAGACACGGGGAGAACAUGCAGACUCCACACAGAAAGGCCACUGGGCGGAAUCGAACCCAGGACCUUCUUGCUGUGAGGCAACAGUGCAAACCACCACACCACCGUGACGCCGCCAAAGGCAUGGAUGACAAAGAAAAAAAGUCGUCCAAUUACACAGUAGGAUAAUUGAGCUCUCGGCUAGAUAAUGAGGUCUAAAGCCCCCCCCCCAGGAUAAUCCGCCCGGUUAAUGACCUCAUCACAUGUCGAUCUCCAGAAUCAGAGUGUUCAAACAGAGCAUAAGUACACAGGGGGGGCUGGAAGAAGGAGUUAGAGGUCUGAACUGAAUUCUCUCUGCUGAUUUAAAUCCUCAUAUUUAGUGUAAUUAUGACAACAAAAUCAAAUAAACACUGAUGUUUUCAGUCUGAAUCACAACCAUUAGAUGUAUUACAUUACAGGUAAUUUAGCUGACGCUUUUAUCCAAAGUGACUUACAUCGCAUUUUUAACCCAUGGCUUUCUACAUUUUUGCCCGGGGAGCAAUUAGGGGUUAGGUGUCUUGCUCAGGGACACUUUGACAUGGGACAUGAAGCAGCUGGGGCUCAAACCCCCAACCUUGCGGUUCCCGGCGCACCCUCUCUACCCCAACACGUCCUGAGAGAUGGACUGGGACAGCAUCUCAGACACCAGGUUCAUGUGUCCCUGAUUGCGAAAGCGAGACAGCAACAAUGGGUCCGUCUGCCAGGAACAAAUGUCCCCCCAGAGGUGAGAGCAGCUGAGCAAUACCUCCGUCAAUACGCAGAUUAUAGACCUGAUCAAUAUCUCCAUCAAUACACAGAUCAUAAACCUGAUCAAUACCUCCGUCAAUAAGCAGAUCAUAGACCUGAUCAAUAUCUCCAUCAAUACACAAAUCAUAAACCUGAUCAAUACCUCCGCCAAUAAGCAGAUCAUAGACCUGAUCAAUAUCUCCAUCAAUACACAGAUCAUAAACCUGAUCAAUACCUCCGUCAAUACACAGAUCAUAAACCUGAUCAAUACCUCCGUCAAUAAGCAGAUCAUAGACCUGAUCAAUAAAACAUUUCUGCUCUGUUAUUAUUAGUCAUGGAGUUAUUAAUAUAUUUUCAAUGGCUCCAAUAAUAAUAUUAUAUCAUACUGCAUAGUAUGAUAUAAAAUGAUAUAAUGUAAAUUAAUACAGUAAACUGUAAUAUUAAGUUAUAGUAUUUGAUAAAAUAAUACAAAGUAAUACAACACAAUGUAAUAUAAUGUAAUACAAUACAAUAUAACACAAUGUAUAAUGACAGUCAGCCCAUUUAACAGUUUUUUGUGCUUCGCAGGUCUCCAUAGAUCGUGGCUACUGGUACACAGGCACCUAGGCUACUGGUACAGUGGUACACAGGCUACUGGUACACAGGCUACAGGUACACAGGCUACUGGUACAGUGGUAUACAGGCUACACUGGUACACUGGUACACAGGCUACACUGGUUUACAGGCUACUGGUAGACUAGUACACAGGCUACACUGGUAUACAGCCUACUGGUACAAUGGUACACUGGUAUACAGGCUACACUGGUCGGCUAGUACACAUGCUACACUGGUAUACAGCCUACUGGUACACUGGUACACGGGCUACUGGUACUCUGGUAUACAGGCUACGCUGGUAUACAGGCUACACGGGUAUACAGGCUACUGGUACACGGGCUACUGGUACUCUGGUAUACAGGCUACGCUGGUAUACAGGCUACACUGGUAUACAGGCUACUGGUACACAGGCUACUGGUACUCUGGUAUACAGGCUACGCUGGUAUACAGGCUACUGGUACACAGGCUACUGGUACACUGGUAUUCAGGCUACACUGGUACACACGUUACUGGUACACUGGUAUACGGGCUACUGGUACACUGGAUACUGUAAGAUGAGGCCGUCAAGCAAAGGAAGUGAAGAGACGGUGGACAGUAACCCUUGAGUGGAGGAAAGAUCUUGUGGCUGAUUGUGUGAUGAUCACCCCCCCCCUCCCCCCAUCUGCCCGAGGACCUGGGCCACUUUCUUUUGUUUGCUCGGAUAUCAAUGAUAUUGUAAUUACCAUGUAAUUACAAUAUCAUUGCACUCCCAUCACACCCGUCACUAAUGAGCAUGAAUCCCACUUCCUGCUGCAGAGUCCACUAACCGAAGCUGGAUUAGACAAUGGGCCCCGGGGCACAGACAUGAGGAAGCCACCCCCGCCCUCCCUUUAUCCCUCCUUCAUAAGAGAAAGACCCUAAGACUGAAAAGGACACACAAAAACAAAGAGACACAAAAAUGAGCAUAAAGAAAAACAAAAUACACACAAAGAGACGUAUUAUGGUUGUUUGCUUGGUGGUGUUGUGGUCUUUUUGUUAUCGUUUUGAGGUUUGAGUCUCCUUAAUGUAGUUCUUUGGCUAUUUUGUGUUUUUUUGUGUUUUUUAAUGUUGUUUUGUUGUUCUGUUUUUUUUUUUCUUGGUAUUUUGUUGGUUCGUUUUGUCAAACUUUGUGUUUGUUUUGUAGUAGUUGUGUUUAUUGUGCACGAGGCCCCCAGGGCCCGUUCAGUAAUCCAUGCUGCUAAUAUCAGGAUGACGGGAGUCGGCAGCAGAGAUAUAAAUACCCCGGUGGAGGUAGUUGCAUGUGUAGCAUGCUGUUAUUGUCUCGGAGCUGUCAGCACGUUUGAAGAGACGACUAUGCAUCGCUGCUCCGUACACAAACGUGACACAAGAUCGGACGUGUGCGUGAAUCCUGUU